rnacentral:misc_RNA from 1 species
GAUGAAGAACGCAGCGAAAUGCGAUAAGUAGUGUGAAUUGCAGAAUUCAGUGAAUCAUCGAAUCUUUGAACGCACAUUGCGCCCGCCAGUAUUCUGGCGGGCAUGCCUGUUCGAGCGUCAUUUCAACCCUCAGGCCCCGCCUGGCGUUGGGGAUCGGCGCGGCCCUCUCCGGGCUGCCGGCCCCGAAAACUAGUGGCGGUCUCGCUGUAGUCCUCCUCUGCGCAGUAGCAACGCUCGCACUGGAACUCGGCGCGGCCACGCCGUAAAACACCCCACUUCUGAAAGUUGACCUCGGAUCAGGUAGGAAUACCCGCUGAACUUAAGCAUAUCAAUAAGCGGAGGA